AGCGAACGCUGGCGGCAGGCCUAACACAUGCAAGUCGAACGGACCCUUCGGGGUUAGUGGCGGACGGGUGAGUAACACGUGGGAACGUGCCUUUAGGUUCGGAAUAACUCAGGGAAACUUGUGCUAAUACCGAAUGUGCCCUUCGGGGGAAAGAUUUAUCGCCUUUAGAGCGGCCCGCGUCUGAUUAGCUAGUUGGUGAGGUAAAGGCUCACCAAGGCUACGAUCAGUAGCUGGUCUGAGAGGAUGACCAGCCACAUUGGGACUGAGACACGGCCCAAACUCCUACGGGAGGCAGCAGUGGGGAAUCUUGCGCAAUGGGCGAAAACCUGACGCAGCCAUGCCGCGUGGAUGAUGAAGGUCUUAGGAUUGUAAAAUCCUUUCACCGGUGAAGAUAAUGACUGUAGCCGGAGAAGAAGCCCCGGCUAACUUCGUGCCAGCAGCCGCCGUAAGAC
rnacentral:rRNA from 1 species